rnacentral:rRNA from 1 species
GAUGAACGCUGGCGGCGUGCUUAACACAUGCAAGUCGAACGAUGAACCGGGUGCUUGCACUCGGGGAUAGUGGCGAACGGGUGAGUAACACGUGAGCAACCUGCCCCUGACUCUGGGAUAAGCGCUGGAAACGGCGUCUAAUACUGGAUAUGUCCCGUCACCGCAUGGUGUGCGGGUGGAAAGAUUUUUCGGUUGGGGAUGGGCUCGCGGCCUAUCAGCUUGUUGGUGAGGUAAUGGCUCACCAAGGCGUCGACGGGUAGCCGGCCUGAGAGGGUGACCGGCCACACUGGGACUGAGACACGGCCCAGACUCCUACGGGAGGCAGCAGUGGGGAAUAUUGCACAAUGGGCGGAAGCCUGAUGCAGCAACGCCGCGUGAGGGAUGACGGCCUUCGGGUUGUAAACCUCUUUUAGCAGGGAAGAAGCGAGAGUGACGGUACCUGCAGAAAAAGCACCGGCUAACUACGUGCCAGCCGCCGCAGUAA